rnacentral:tRNA from 1 species
UCCCUGGUGGCUCAGAGGUUAAAGCGUCUGCCUGCAAUGCUGGAGACCUAGGUUCAAUCCCUGGAUUGGGAA